UCACCGAAAUUCGCGCCUUAGUUAGAAGCGAUAAUAAUUAUCGGAACCUUAUCUGGCAACGUCAUCUAAAUGGCAAUUGACCAGCUGGUGAAUAUUGAUUCGGAUAAGGGUUCUUCGGAUCCCCAGCAUCUAGCUUCGAUCUUUUCUUACGACGAUCGUCAAGCUGAUAAGUUCAGUCCCAGCAGAGAUAAGACCUAGCAAAAAGGCAAAUCAAGAAAAAAGAACUGGAGAGUACCAUCACAUGUGCUCCCAACUUUAAUCCAGCGUUUAUUUCGGCAUCAAGAUUAAAAGGCCACAAAGAAAAGGCAAUUAAUAAAUGCCCGUGGAUUGCCGUGUCGGCAAGGUCACGCGUGUUAUUUUUAUCGUCGACUACACAGCGAGAAAUCGCCAGGUCGAUUGAUUCUACUAAAGAAGAAAAUCACUGGUUACCCGAGGAAACGAAGCUGAAUUUUAAACUCUUCCACGCCGACCCAAAAGUUCGGCUGGAGUCAGCUACCUCUGCUGGGAGACAAUUUGUUCGGAGGUCGCAGGAAAAAAUCUACAGAAAACCUACAUAGAAAUAAAAACCCUUACAAAACUAGGGUAAAACAAAAACAGAUUAAAAUAC